rnacentral:lncRNA from 1 species
UAUACACCAUGGAAUACUACUCCACCAUAAAAAGGAAUGAAAUAAUGGCAUUUGCAGCAACCGGGAUGGAACUGGAGAACAUUAUUCUAAGCGAGGUAACUCAGGAAUGAAAAACCAAACAUUGUUGUGUUCUCACUCAUAACUGGGAGCUAGGCUAUGAGGACGCAAAGACACAAGAAUGAUACAAUGGACUUUGGGGACUUGGGGGAAAGGGUGGGAGGUGGGUGAGGGAUAAAAGAUUGGGUAUAGUGUACACUGUUUGGGUAACGGGAGCACCAAAAUCUCAGAAAUCACCGCUAAGAAACUUAUUCACGUAACCAAACACCAUCUGUUCUCCAAAAACCUAUUUAAAUAAAAAGUAAAUUAUAUUACUUUAAACAAAUAUUAAAUAACCUUACAAUGGACUCUAAGUGUUCAAGUGAAAGGAAGAAUCACACAUCUCUCACUUUAAUGAAAAGCUAGAAAUAAAUGAAUAAGCUUAGUGAGAAAGACAUGUUGAAAGUUAAGAUCGGCCAAAAGCUAAGUCUCUUGUGAUGAACAGUUAGCUGAGAUAUGAAUUAAAAGAAAAAAAGAGUUCUUGGAGAAAAUUAAAAGCACCACUCCAGUGAACACAGGAAUGAUAGGAAAGCAAAACAGCCCUAUUGCUGAUAUAAAGAAAGUUUUGUUGGCCUGGAUAGAAGAUCAAACAAGCCACAACAUUCCCUUAAGCCAAACUCUAAUCCAGAACAAGGCCUUAACUCUAUUCAAUUCUAUGAAAGCUGAGAGAGGUGAGAAAACUGCAGGAGAAAAGUUGGAGGCUAGCAAAGGUUGGAUCAUGAGGUUUAAGCAGAUGUUGUCUCCAUACCAUCAAAGUACAAGAUGAAAGCAGGUGAUAAUAUAGAAGCUGCAGCAAGUUAUCCAGAAGAUCUAGCUAAGAUCUUUCCUGAUUUGGAACAACUGAUAAAGAUUCAAAAGAAAAAGGAAUUAAAAAUGAAAUUCUAAAAAACGAUUUUAAAUGUAAGCAAUACUUGUUAUUUUUCCCAGUUUAACAUUUCUCCAGGAAUGAAAUUUAAUGUUUUGAGCUGCCUUAUAAUGAAAUGCAUAAAUAAUUAGCAUUUUGCCUCCAGAGGGUGAUAUUAUCCAGCUAACUGGUGAAAGCACAAUAUUACAUGUCAUUUUAAAUCAAUCCCAAGUAGCUUUUUAAAUGUAAGUCCCUAAUUUUACAGCAUCUUUAUGUAAAUUUUGGAAAUAGAUUUCUCUCCAUCCUAGAAGAGCAUCAAGUGUAAUAAAGAUUUUUAAUGAUAUACCAUCUGUUGUUAGAGCAUAUUAUACAGACAAAUGGAUGUAAGUCUGGAAGUUACAAGUUGAGGGGCACUAAACGCAUUUAUUUGAGUACUAUAUUUUGAGUAGAAAGUGUCACAUAUGAAAAUCACCCUCCUCAUAAGUUUUCAGUCUUUGUUAAGUGCUACUACUAAUGAUGACAUUGAUGAUGGUGUUGGGAGGAGAGUAAAUGGUGAUGCCAGUCUUGGGAAACAUGUGUAAGACCCUCUCAGGAAAUUGUUUUUAGAGAAACAUAAGUUUGAAGCCAUAUCCAACCUUCUGCCCUCAAAUGACAUCACUAAUUUUGUUGCAUAUCUUACACAGGAAAUUCUCUCUAAGAUAAUUUUUGAUGCUUCAAAAAAUCAAAUUUACUCCUUAAGACUGAAUAUUUGACACUUCUAAGGAUAUGUAUAAAAAUGUAUUGUAGGUGCCAAUGGAAGUUGAAAACUAUGGCAAUGACAGCAUUAUUGGAACUUAGCCUCCUGGGAUGACCAUUUUGUAUGGGAAGACAUUCAGAUGGAUGCUUUGAUAAAAACUGCUACUUGUCCCCUAUAUCCAUUUUCUUUUCAUACAUGGUAGUAGAAUCCCUGAUUUUUAGCUGGAUACAUGACUGCAUGGAAGAAAGGCUACAUUUCCUUGCCUCCUUCCAAACAAGAUGAAAUCAUGUCACUUGGUUUUGGUCAAUGGGAUAUAAGCAAAAGUGUCAUGUGGCAACCUUGAAUUUUCAUUACUAGACAAACAUCCAUGCAUUUUUUGCCCUUUCUUCUUUGUCCACAUCUUUUUCCUACAGGCUGAAAUGUGACAAAAUAGUUGGACUGAAACAGUUACUUUGGCCCAUGAGAUGAUCUUGAGAUUGGAGGUCACAUAAAUAGUAGAGCAGCAAGAGAUAGAAUUCAUAUGCUUGAAACAUUCAUGGGAUCCAGCCCUAUGCAAGUCCUAGCCUGCAUAACUUCAGACUUUUAUGUAAGAGAGAACUAAGCAUACCUCUUCUGCAAGUAACAGUCAUUAGGUGCCUCAGCAACUCAAAAGGAACCUCACCCUAUAUA